rnacentral:rRNA from 1 species
CGUGAGUGAAGAAGGCCUUCGGGUUGUAAAGCUCUUUUGUCAGGGAAGAAACGGUGAGAGCUAAUAUCUUUUGCUAAUGACGGUACCUGAAGAAUAAGCACCGGCUAACUACGUGCCAGCAGCCGCGGUAAUACGUAGGGUGCAAGCGUUAAUCGGAAUUACUGGGCGUAAAGCGUGCGCAGGCGGUUUUGUAAGUCUGAUGUGAAAUCCCCGGGCUCAACCUGGGAAUUGCAUUGGAGACUGCAAGGCUAGAAUCUGGCAGAGGGGGGUAGAAUUCCACGUGUAGCAGUGAAAUGCGUAGAUAUGUGGAGGAACACCGAUGGCGAAGGCAGCCCCCUGGGUCAAGAUUGACGCUCAUGCACGAAAGCGUGGGGAGCAAACAGGAUUAGAUACCCUGGUAGUCCACGCCCUAAACGAUGUCUACUAGUUGUCGGGUUUUAAUUAACUUGGUAACGCAGCUAAC